AUGUCUACACAGAGGCUCGGCAGCUGGAAGAUUGUCUCCUUUCAUAGGCAAAGCCUUGCUUGUCACACAGUGGCAUCUCUGUGCAAGGGUAAAUUUGACUCCUCUACUUUGGAAUUAUCCUGUGCUAACAGAAUUCUCAGACUCACAGGGUCCAUCUUCUGCUUUCAUGAUUGUCCCCAAGCCAGAGUGAUGGAGGAUGGAGAGAGAAUGUGGAUUGGUACUAAGGUGUCAUGUGACUGCCUCAGACUGAAUUGUAAAACAUUUUUGGACAGUUUCAUACACGGAGAUGAUGAAGGUUGGAGGAGAGGAUCAGGAAAGAGCUGUUUGUACGAACGAUCUCCUAGUGGACCUCCGGAAGAAGAAAAGGAAGAGUGA
rnacentral:lncRNA from 1 species